UACGGAGGGUGCAAACGUUGCUCGGAAUCAUUGGGCGUAAAGCGCACGUAGGCGGACCGCUAAGUCGGAUGUGAAAGCCCUCGGCUUAACCGAGGAAGUGCAUUCGAAACUGACAGUCUUGAGUAUGGAAGAGGGUCGCGGAAUUCCCGGUGUAGAGGUGAAAUUCGUAGAUAUCGGGAGGAACACUAGUGGCGAAGGCGGCGACCUGGGCCAAUACUGACGCUGAGGUGCGAAAGCGUGGGGAGCAAACAGG
rnacentral:rRNA from 1 species